rnacentral:tRNA from 1 species
GCCGGGCUAGCUCAGUGGUAGAGCGCAGCUCUGAAAAAGCUGGCGUGCGUGGUUCGAUUCCGCGGCCCGGCACCA